rnacentral:rRNA from 1 species
GACGAACGCUGGCGGCGUGCUUAACACAUGCAAGUCGAACGGAAAGGCCCUGCUUUUGUGGGGUGCUCGAGUGGCGAACGGGUGAGUAACACGUGAGUAACCUGCCCUUGACUUUGGGAUAACUUCAGGAAAAUGGGGCUAAUACCGGAUAGGAGCUCCUGCUGCAUGGUGGGGGUUGGAAAGUUUCGGCGGUUGGGGAUGGGCUCGGGGCUUAUCAGCUGGUUGGUGGGGUAGUGGCUUACCAAGGCUUUGACGGGUAGCCGGCCUUAGAGGGUGACCGGCCACAUUGGGACUGAGAUACGGCCCAGACUCCUACGGGAGGCAGCAGUGGGGAAUAUUGCACAAUGGGCGGAAGCCUGAUGCAGCAACGCCGCGUGCGGGAUGACGGCCUUCUGGUUGUAAACCGCUUUCGCCUGUGACGAAGCGUGAGUGACGGUAAUGGGUAAAGAAGCACCGGCUAACUACGUG